rnacentral:rRNA from 1 species
UACGGAGGGUGCGAGCGUUGUCCGGAAUCACUGGGCGUAAAGGGCGCGUAGGCGGCUCGUGAAGUCAGUGGUGAAAGUCCAGGGCUCAACCCUGGAAGGCCGGUGGAAACUGUCGGGCUAGAGUCCGGAAGAGGCGAGUGGAAUUCCCGGUGUAGCGGUGAAAUGCGCAGAUAUCGGGAGGAACACCAAUGGCGAAGGCAGCUCGCUGGGACGGUACUGACGCUGAGACGCGAAAGCGUGGGGAGCAAACAGG